rnacentral:rRNA from 1 species
AUUGAACGCUGGCGGCAGGCCUAACACAUGCAAGUCGAACGGUAACAGGAAGCAGCUUGCUGCUUCGCUGACGAGUGGCGGACGGGUGAGUAAUGUCUGGGAAGCUGCCUGAUGGAGGGGGAUAACUACUGGAAACGGUAGCUAAUACCGCAUAAUGUCGCAAGACCAAAGAGGGGGACCUUCGGGCCUCUUGCCAUCGGAUGUGCCCAGAUGGGAUUAGCUUGUUGGUGGGGUAACGGCUCACCAAGGCGACGAUCCCUAGCUGGUCUGAGAGGAUGACCAGCCACACUGGAACUGAGACACGGUCCAGGCUCCUAAGGGAGGCAGCAGUGGGGAAUAUUGCACAAUGGGCGCAAGCCUGAUGCAGCCAUGCCGCGUGUAUGAAGAAGGCCUUCGGGUUGUAAAGUACUUUCAGCGGGGAGGAAGGGAGUAAAGUUAAUACCUUUGCUCAUUGACGUUACCCGCAGAAGAAGCACCGGCUAACUCCGUG